CGCCCUGGGUUAGUCGGGACCUAAGCUGAGGCCGAAAGGCGUAGGUGAUGGACAACAGGUUGAUAUUCCUGUACUACCGAUAACCAUUUGAGAGAUGGGAUGACACAGUAGGAUAAGCUAAGCACACCGUUGGUUAUGUGUGCCCAAGCAUUGAGGCAGUCAGAGUAGGUAAAUCCGCUUUGAUAAUGCUGGGAUGUGAUGGGGAGCGAAAUUUAGUAGCG
rnacentral:rRNA from 1 species